GGAGUUACUGUUUAUUUGAAAGCUGCCUGUUGGACAGUGAGGAGUUACUGUUUAUUUGAAAGCUGCCUGUUGGACAGUGAGGAGUUACUGUUAUUUGAAAGCUGCGUGUUGGACAGUGAGGAGUUACUGUUUAUUUGAAAGCUGCCUGUUGGACAGUGAGGAGUUACUGUUUAUUUGAAAGCUGCCUGUUGGACAGUGAGGAGUUACUGUUUAUUUGAAAGCUGCCUGUUGGACAGUGAGGAGUUACUGUUUAUUUGAAAGCUGAGGGAUGUGAAUGACUAGUUAUGUACUUUGGUAAAGACGUUAUUCUACAUAUUUCUAUCUCUGUAAUGUAAUCUCGCUCUACUCUUUCUCCCUUGCUUGGCCAUCCUCCCUCUUGUCCUCUUAAUUAGCUUACCCUCUCCUGCAACAUUAGCUUUGUAUCACUCAGACCACAGGAGGCUGCUGAGGGGAGGACUACUCAUAAAAAGGCCUGGAAUGUAGUGAAUGGAAUAGUAUCAAAUGCAUGGAAACCAUUCAUUCCAUUCCAGCCAUUACUAUGAGCCUUGUCCUCCCCAAUUAAGGUGCCUCCAACCUCCUGGGAUUCAGACAGAGAAGUCACAGUAUUCACUGUUGGUUGUCCUCGUCAAAUAACUUUAUGAGAUCCCUUUUUCAUCCAUUCCACCGGCUCUCCCUUCACACAUGUAUUAAACAUGACUUCGGAUAUAGGCUGUCCCUUCACACAUGUAUUAAACAUGACUUCGGAUGUAGGCUGUCCCUUCACACAUGUAUUAAACAUGACUUCGGAUAUAGGCUGUCCCUUCACAUGUAUUAAACAUGACUUCGGAUAUAGGCUGUCCCUUCACAUGAAUUAAACAUGACUUCGGAUGUAGGCUAGUCAUUUUACGGGCAUUUCUCCAUGUGUACUGUGAACUUUCAUCCUUUUGUUAAUAACUCAGAAUCCAGUGUAUAGUCUUUAUUUAUUGCUUUACAAUCAUUUAUAAAGAUACUGUUUAUUACCUCACUAUUUUCUUUAAGAAAUCAGAAAUUCUCUGUCAGCAUUGUCUGUUUUUUUAUAUUAAAAAGGACUUUGUGUCAACGACCCUAAACCCCGCCUAUUUCUACAAAAACGUCCCACAUAAUCAUCCUAUUUCCCCAAGUAAAAAUAGCCUUUACAUGACCAAAACAUCACCCAUAAUAUUUGUACACCAUUAAAAUGCUCAGAAUUGAAGAAAUGGUACAUUCUCUCACAGUCAGGAAGCCUGAAAGAACAGGGGCUGACUGGGCGGAGAGCUUAUAUUCAUGAGCUCGCCUUGACUGAGAGCUCUUUGAAACGCCCUUGUGGUCGUUGCCUGGUAACAAGGUAAACAAUCCUAACCUAAAUUGUAAGGCUCAACCCAUUUUCUCUGCAAAAUGCUCUCAUGGCCAACAGAACUGGCUCAUGUUCUUGACGUGUCAUGUUUACAUAUUCUAGGUGUACAGUUGCACUGUGUUUAUGCAUAUUAGUCCAAUAACAAAGUCUUAUGUUUCCAACAUAGACUACAGCAUUCCUUUUCUCCAUAUGAAGUUUAGUCAGACUAUUGUUUUGUAACUAAUUACAGAAUACAUUUCACUGAUACACUUCUUCACAAGAAUUAGUAAAGCUCAAGACACCUUAGCCAUAAGGGAAUGUAUAUGAAAACAGCAUAUAAUCAGUGUACUGGACAAUGUAUUGGUGCCUCUUCAUUAGCAUUAUAAAUAACAUGUUCAGAAUUGUAUGUAUUGAUCAGACAUUAGUUUGAUCAUUUACAAUUAGGCCAGCACAACCAAAAUAUUGAUCACCAUAAAUGAAGGUGCGAAAUAAUGGUGAGACAUCAUUUGACAUUAAAAAAAUAUAUUAGAGCCAUAUACCUUAUAUAGGCACCGGCCACCCAACAGUGUGCAGAACCCCUUGACUCAUACAAUUUGUAACACUGCUCUCCUGUCCGAAUGCUUGAAGAAACAAUACAAAG
rnacentral:lncRNA from 1 species